CAAAACAGGAUUAGAUGCCAUGGUAAUCCCACGCCUAAAAGAAGGAGAGUUAAGUGUUAGGGAGUUUCCGCCCCUUUAGUGCUGCAGCUAACGCAAUUAAGCACUCCGCUGGGGGAGUACGGCCGCAAGGCUGAAACUCAAAGGAAUUGACGGGGGCCCGCACAAGCGGUGGAGCAUGUGGUUUAAUUGGGAAGCAACGCGAAGAACCUUACCAGGUCUUGACAUCCCGCUGACCGCCUUGGAGACAGGCCUUUCCCUUCGGGGACAGCGGUGACAGGUGGUGCAUGGUUGUCGUCAGCUCGUGUCGUGAGAUGUUGGGUUAAGUCCCGCAACGAGCGCAACCCUUGAUCUUAGUUGCCAGCAUUCAGUUGGGCACUUUAAGGUGACUGCCGGUGACAAACCGGAGGAAGGUGGGGAUGACGUCAAAUCAUCAUGCCCCUUAUGACCUGGGCUACACACGUGCUACAAUGGACGGUACAAAGGGCAGCCAACCCGCGAGGGGGAGCCAAUCCCAGAAAACCGUUCUCAGUUCGGAUUGCAGGCUGCAACUCGCCUGCAUGAAGCCGGAAUCGCUAGUAAUCGUGGAUCAGCAUGCCACGGUGAAUACGUUCCCGGGCCUUGUACACACCGCCCGUCACACCACGAGAGUUUGUAACACCCGAAGUCGGUGAGGUAACCCUGGGAGCCAGCCCCCCGACUUUCCCCCACGC
rnacentral:rRNA from 1 species